GCCACACCAAGUGAUUGAGCAUCUAAAAUGUGACUUGUGCCGUUAAGAAAUGGAACUUUUAAUUUUGCCUUAAUUAAAUGUAAGGAGCCACAAACAAGGAAGCAUUAGGGAAAGUCCUAUACCAUGCAAACUCUGAAAGACUUUUAGACCAGGGAAGCAGGAAGGCAGGCCAAGAGUGCUUAGAAAUUGGGAUAACUGUGUGUGCAGAGGCCCUAAAACAAGGUUCGCAGAGGACACGUAUUUUGGAUUUUGCGUGGGACACCCUUCUACCUAGCCGUGGUGCGUUAGUGACCUGAACUUCGGACUGAGCAGGAUGUCCUGGACGGCCCCACCCGCGACCAAAUUGGGCCAGAGCAGCCUGUCCUCUGUCGCCACCGUGCGGCCCGAACUGCACAUGACGCCGCAGCGGCCGUGGAGACCAACUGUGACGACGUGUCCGGUGGAGAUUCCCGCCUCUCUGCCCCGGGUCGUGGGCUCCCUCAGGGCACAAGACGACCCACCUUUUUCACCUUUCACCACUGACUCGCCCUUGGCAGCGCUGCCACACAGGCAGCGCUCCCUGGAUGUUUGUUGAUUGAGUAAA